CUCGGCACAGCGCCAGCGCCGGACGUGCGCACUGACUGAUUCAAUAAAAUCAAUAAGGUGGACAAUAAUGGCGGCCAUUUAGAUGGUCCAAUUUUUGCCAGCAUGGAUUUCACCAGAAAUAGCCACUUAGGGUCCGGUGGGCUAUGUGAUGCCAUAAGGCAAUUCGACACGAUAGGAAAUAGAUCAAUAACAGUAUAAUCGAAUUUACGUUCUUUUUGAGGCCUUACCUCGGCCACACAGAUAUUGUGCAGCUGUUGAAUUUCUGGGCAAAAAAAUAACGUUUAAUUUCAUUAGCACGAUCCAGUAUUCGAAACUGGGACCUCGUGAUGCUCCUGAUGAUCAAGGGCACAAGGUGGUAACUAUGAAGAUCAACGAAAAAGGAAGUUUCCUCGGGACGCGAUGAAUACAUCAAACGCGCUGAAGCCUUAAUCGCUGCAAAACCACUGUUCCCGGGAGAUCUCGGAUAUACCUUUGAUAUUCUACGAACUCAAACUCAAAUUACCGAGAAAAUGUGAAAAGAAAUUCCUUUUGAAUUUUAGAUAUUUUAAAUA